rnacentral:rRNA from 1 species
UCCUGCCAGAGGCCAUUGCUAUCAGGGUUUGACUAAGCCAUGCGAGUCGAGAGGUGUAAGACCUCGGCAUACUGCUCAGUAACACGUGGUUAACCUGCCCUAAGGUGGAGAAUACUCCCGGGAAACUGGGGCUAAUGCUCCAUAGUGGAUAUGUCCUGGAAUGGUAUAUCCUCGAAAGAUCCGUCGCCUUAGGAUGGGACUGCGUCCGAUUAGGUUGUUGGCGGGGUAACGGCCCACCAAGCCAUUGAUCGGUACGGGUUGUGGGAGCAAGAUCCCGGAGAUGGAUUCUGAGACAUGAAUCCAGGCCCUACGGGGCGCAGCAGGCGCGCAAACUUUACAAUGCGAGCAAUCGUGAUAAGGAAACCCUGAGUGCCUGUCGAUGCAGGCUGUUCAUAUAUCUAAAUCAUAUGUGAAGAAAGGGCAGGGCAAGACCGGUGCCAGCCGCCGCGGUAAUACCGGCUGCUCGAGUGAUGGCCACUAUUACUGGGUUUAAAGCGUCCGUAGCUUGACUGUUAGGUCUCUUGGGAAAUCUUCACGCUCAACGUGAAGGCGUCUAAGAGAUACCGGCAGUCUUGGAACUGGGAGAGGUAAACCGUACUUCGGGGGUAGGAGUGAAAUCUUGUAAUCCUCGAGGGACGACCUAUGGCGAAGGCAGUUUACCAGAACAGCUUCGACAGUGAGGGACGAAAGCUGGGGGAGCAAACGGGAUUAGAUACCCCGGUAGUCCCAGCCGUAAACAAUGUGCGUUAGGUGUGUCGGUAACCACGUGUUACUGAUGCGCCGAAGAGAAAUCGUGAACCGCACCACCUGGGAAGUACGGUCGCAAGGCUGAAACUUAA